GGAUCCUGACAUGCUUGGGCCAAGUACUUGCUGACUUGCAAGGUGUAAAUAUAUUCAGGCCCAAGCUCACUGUGUAAAUUUAAAUCAACAUAGCAUCAUUUUGGUCCAGGGGCAGUCACAAAAAGAAAAGAGGGAAGUGUGGGGAGGACUGAGGAGAGUUGCAGGGAGAACCUUUUCCACAUGGUUCUAUGGUUGCUAUAGUAACUCCUUCUUUUGUUUGUACAUAUUCAGAACAGCUGUCUCCUUUGGAAACUGGCAAUGAUAUUGUGGUAUUAGAGCUAAAGAUGAAAGACUUCGGAGUGGCCAUGACAAUGGCCUUUGGUAGACAUGAAAAAGCAGAAGACAUAAAAAGAUCCCUUCAGCAGCAUCUCCUAUAAAUGUCAUCUCUGAGCUGAUGAAUGCAAAAAGGUGUUGUCAUUAAAACUCAGCAAAGUUUCACUACUUUAUUACUCCCUUGCUCCUAGAAUGUUGGGAAUACAUAUAAGAGAAAAUGCCUCUGCAUAUUUGCUUUGGAAAUACAAAUGAA